CGGUAAGACAGAAAAUUGUUGUUACAAUCUCUUGGGAAUUGUGUAUCACUUGAUUGAUAGGGUCACUGGUGUUCAAACAUUAUCUAUCUUCACUACGUAUUUUACCACCGUCCGGUGUCUUAAUCCUUUUUUCCCCAAAUUUCCAGACAGUUCGUCACUCGGGCGUAAGAUCUGUGGACUACAGUACAGUACGGUACCCGUACUGUUUUCUUUUUAAGGACAACGAAGGCUUUCUCUACGUACACCACAAUCGAUCACUGGAUGUACUAUAAAGGCGCAGAACAAAACAGGAAACCCAUGGCUGCUUGCCUGUCAAUAACAUCAAUUCUGGGUACUUUGUCACGUCUACUGGGCAGUUGCAACCACCGAAAUGAUACUUAUGGAUACUCACCUGUGGAUACGAGCCCCAGUGUGACUGAGAAACAAAUGAGGUACUUGGCUCGUCAGAUCUAUUCAUACGAGGCAAGGCCCCUACUGCUUGAAUUGGGACUGGAGGACGUCACCAUCGACCAUAUCUUCUCUCGCUUCAAGAAUGACUGUAGUGGAGGAGUGUACCAAGGUCUCCGUAAGUGCCAGAACAAGAUGGGGCGGAGUGGUUUUACUUUUGGUAUACUUGUGAAAGCCCUCAAUGAAAUGGGUAGGAGAGAUCUUAUUGAAGAGAUAACGGCUGGAAUAAAAUCACGCCC